UGAUACUCUCUUUUUUUUCCCUAUUUUUUGUUCUUCGUAGGCCUCUUUGGAAAGGAAGUUUAAAAAAGAAGAUGAUUAAUGUUCGAAACUAUGGAAGCAAUGGCCUUUCUUUCGAAUGUUACGAAAAUCUUUUCUGUAGAGGAUUUGAUUUCAUCAACCUUCUCAAAGGAUCAAUGUACCAAUAGUGCAGAUACGGAUACCUCUACUUCUCAUAACGCUCAGAAAAAAAGGCCACGAAACAUAUUUGAUGAAGAUAACCUACAACACUCCGAAGAAUGAUAAGUCCUUUAAUAAGAUCCAACAAAAAAGAGGCAUAUCUGAUAUGGAUUCUACUGUUGUCACGUAUAAAUUACUUUCAUGUAUUAAUGUUGGCACUACUUUUUCCCUCUAUAUGUAUAAAAACUUUUUACAUUUUCCGAUGAUAGUUA